AGGUCUGCUCAUUGGGUCGGGCUGUGCUCUCUAUCCCCUGGGAUGGGACAGUGAAGAAGUCCAGCAGACCUGCAGCAACAGCUCAGACCAGUUUAAACUGGGUUCCUGUCAGAUCGGCUGGGCGUACUACUGCACGGGGGCCGGCGCGGCCACCGCCAUGCUCCUCUGCACCUGGCUCUCCUGCUUUGCCGGGAAGAAGCAGAAGCAUUACCCGUAUUGACCAGCGAAUCGGAGACAAAAGGGACAGGCUGAGACCUCGGGCGGUACGACUAAAAGGGAGGGCCCUCCAACUGCGUGGACUCAGACUAGUACAGCACACCAGGCGCCAAAGACGGCAAGCCGUUUCGGUGCUCUGCACAAUCCUCGGGACGCGUCUCAUCUGACGACUGCAGAGACUGUUUCAUAAUGCAGCACACACACACGGCUCUGAAAAGUUCUCGUAAAAAGAUGUUCCUAAAUGAAAGAUGUAUGGACCAAGAUUAUUAGUAAAGUUGUUACAUUCUGUUUUUCUUUUAUUUCUUUGAUCGAUAUCUCCCACGGGCAUCAAUGUUCAUGUGAUUGUGUGGCCUGUAAAGAGCAGAAAAUAUAUUCCCCUAUUAUUCCCAGAGUGUUCCCAUGUCCUAUGUGUCUCCCAUUCUUGCCUUAAACAACCUGAAAUGCAAUAAUACCUGUGAUAAUGUAAAGCAGUCCAGAAAACUGGCCGCCCGCCUCCUCGGCUCAGCCUUUUUUUUUUUUUUUUUCAGAUUUCACAGAUUUAAGCAGAGUUUAUUUAACACGUUCAUAAGAUAUACAAUGUGUACGGUAUUGUAUUUUAUCACGUUAUCACGUGUUUUGUAUUCACUCUCAGAUUAUUCUUGGUCAUGCUUUUUUUGUUUUUGUAAAUACAUGUUUAAUUAAAUCCUG